AGAUCAUGCUCUUGCUUGAAGUAAACUUUUGCCAUUCCUCCUAAAAACACCACAUAAAAAUGAGUAAAAACACUAAACUUUUCUUGCAGUGCGUAAAACUUGCUAUUCAUAAACACAAGCAGCAAAAAUAACAACAAAAACUUCCUCUCCUGAUUCCUCAAAAAUUAGUCCACGAGAAUAUUAGCUCAAUCCCAUAAUCCAACAUCACACAAAACUAAUCUCUUCUAAGCAAGAAUCGUCCACAGUAGUACUAAAACAAAAGAAUUGAUUAACCUAAAAUACUCAAAAUUCACAGAGCAAAACCUCAAAAAAUCAACAAUCCGAAAUAACAAACACAAAACCUAACCGAAGAAUUCAAAAGAACAAUAAAACCCAUCAACAAAUCCCACCUUCUAUCUUCUUCAAACCCCCAAAAACGAUCAAUUAUUGUCAACGCCAAAAACCCACCAAUUAAACGAUUAAAGAAAAUAGAAGAAAAAUUGCAUAACUAGAAUUAAGAAGAAACUUAAAAUCAGCAACAGAGAGGACAAAGUGAAGAAGCAACCUUGCGGAUACAGAUACAGAGAAAAGAAGAUGGCUUUGUGAUCAAACUCUUGAAAAGCUCGUGGGUCCGCUUGAUUGCAGAAAAAUUAAAUAACUACUUAUAAAAA
rnacentral:misc_RNA from 1 species